rnacentral:rRNA from 1 species
CCUGGCGGCGAUAGCGCGGUGGUCCCACCUGACCCCAUGCCGAACUCAGCAGUGAAACGCCGUAGCGCCGAUGGUAGUGUGGGGUCUCCCCAUGUGAGAGUAGGAAACUGCCAGGU